AUUGAACGCUGGCGGCAUGCCUUACACAUGCAGGUCGAACGGUAACAGGUCUUCGGAUGCUGACGAGUGGCGAACGGGUGAGUAAUACAUCGGAACGUGCCCGAUCGUGGGGGAUAACGAAGCGAAAGCUUUGCUAAUACCGCAUAAGAUCUAAGGAUGAAAGCAGGGGACCGCAAGGCCUUGCGCGAACGGAGCGGCCGAUGGCAGAUUAGGUAGUUGGUGGGAUAAAAGCUUACCAAGCCGACGAUCUGUAGCUGGUCUGAGAGGACGACCAGCAACACUGGGACUGAGACACGGCCCAGACUCCUACGGGAGGCAGCAGUGGGGAAUUUUGGACAAUGGGCGAAAGCCUGAUCCAGCCAUGCCGCGUGCAGGAUGAAGGCCUUCGGGUUGUAAACUGCUUUUGUACGGAACGAAAAGACUCUUUCUAAUAAAGAGGGUCCAUGACGGUACCGUAAGAAUAAGCACCGGCUAACUACGUGCCAGCAGCCGCGGUAA
rnacentral:rRNA from 1 species